rnacentral:tRNA from 1 species
GGCCCGCUAGCUCAACGGUAGAGCAGUGCCCUUUUAAGGCAUUGGUUCUCGGUUCGAAUCCGAGGCGGGUCA